CCUUAACCUGCUAACUAGCGCGGCGAAUCUGCGGAUUGGCGAUGCGCGCUUCUUAGAGGGACACCCUGGGCAACCAGGAGGAGGUUUAAGGCAAUAACAGGUCUGUGAUGCCCUUAGAUGUUCUGGGCCGCACGCGCGCUACACUGACGCAUGCAGCGAGUGGCUUCUUGGCCGGAAGGCCUGGAGAACCUUGUGAAACUGCGUCGUGCUGGGGCUAGAUUAUUGGAAUUAUUAAUCUUCAACGAGGAAUGCCUUGUAAGCGCAA
rnacentral:rRNA from 1 species